UACAGAGGGUGCAAACGUUGCUCGGAAUUAUUGGGCGUAAAGCGCACGUAGGCGGUUCGUUAAGUCAGAUGUGAAAGCCCCGGGCUCAACCCGGGAACUGCGUCUGAUACUGGAAGGCUUGAAUCCGGGAGAGGGAUGUGGAAUUCCAGGUGUAGCGGUGAAAUGCGUAGAUAUCAGGAGGAACACCAAUUGCGAAGGCAGCUCGCUGGGACGUUACUGACGCUGAGACGCGAAAGCGUGGGGAGCAAACAGG
rnacentral:rRNA from 1 species